rnacentral:rRNA from 1 species
AUUGAACGCUGGCGGAAUGCUUUACACAUGCAAGUCGAGCAGCAGCGCGGCCUUCGGGCUGGCGGCGAGCGGCGAACGGGUGAGUAAUGCAUCGGAACAUGCCCAGUCGUGGGGGAUAACACUUCGAAAGAAGUGCUAAUACCGCAUACGUCCUGAGGGGGAAAGCGGGGGAUCGCAAGACCUCGCGCGAUUGGAGUGGCCGAUGUCAGAUUAGCUAGUUGGUGGGGUAAAGGCCUACCAAGGCGACGAUCUGUAGCUGGUCUGAGAGGAUGAUCAGCCACACUGGGACUGAGACACGGCCCAGACUCCUACGGGAGGCAGCAGUGGGGAAUUUUGGACAAUGGGGGCAACCCUGAUCCAGCCAUUCCGCGUGAGUGAAGGAGGCCUUCGGGUUGUAAAGCUCUUUCGGCAGGAACGAAACGGUGGGCUCUAACAUAGUCCGCUAAUGACGGUACCUGAAGAAGAAGCACCGGCUAACUACGUG